rnacentral:lncRNA from 1 species
UGGUGCCAUUUUGUUUCGCUUUUAAUUUGUAAAUGCAGAGUCGUUUUGCACUGAGUCGCUUGUUUUCUGGGUUCACCGUGUCUGUUGAAUAUAUAUGAUUCUUGCUGAGUUUUUAUUGAUAUUGUAACCAAUUUCACAAUCUGAGUUUGCAAAGUUGUCUGGGUUGUUUUACAUUCGAUUAGCUAGUAGCGAGUCAUUGUUUU